rnacentral:misc_RNA from 1 species
GCACGACGCUACCGUGCGCCACAUCGCUGCACCCCCUCCCCUCUUCUCGCGCGUGCCGGAUAAGCACGGAAGGUGCGUAGGCGUUUGCAAGCGCACACAUGCUCAUAGAAAGAUGAAAGGCACGCCGGCUCUUGUGAUUGGGCGCAAGGAGCUCUUCUCCUUCGCAGACCGCUACAGCUCACGGCGCCUCAGCGACUACAGCAGCCUGGCAGACGGCGAGGUGCUCUGCUGCCUCUUCAACCUCGUCUUCCCUGACCUUCGCAUUCGCCCAGCACCAUCGCAGACACACUCCAGCACGCAGCGGGCACACGCCAACUGGGAGCAACUCUUUCGCCGCUUUGCAAGGCUGCACAUCCCGCUCUCGUUCCUCGAUCCUGCCGCCCUCCAAGCCGGCAGCGUCGAGUGCGGCUUCAGUACGCUCGUCCUUUUCUACUUCUUCCAUCACCUCUCGAAGCGGCCGGACUUCUCGGCUGAGUUCGCGCUCGACGUGGCCGAGGAGGUGACCACCUACCUGCAGUCGACCGACUGCAUCGCCACCCUGUUGCUGGGGGGCGCACUUCAAUGGGCUGCGGUGCCGGAGCCGCUGGCGCAGACGCUACGCGUGCACCCGGUUUUCCACACAACUGCGGAGGCGGAGAUGGCACAGGAGGAGGAGGCAGCCCGCACCUACCGCUCGAUGUUUGCGCGGCGGCGUACAGGCAGCGCCAACAGUAUGCACAACCUCCCUGCGACUCAACGUGCACAUUCACGCACGACGGAGCAGCAGUCGGGAAUCGGCGGCCCGAGUAGCAUGAAACCCGCAUCCUCCUCUUCACCCUCUGCGGCGUCGUCUUCUACGCCGUGUUGUAAAGGCAGGGCAGACUCACCACCGCCGCGGCCACCACUCCACAACGCAUCGACACAGUCCACUCGCUCCUCCACAUCGAGACUGUCGAGCAGCGACAAUGUGAACCCGUCUGUCGACCUCUGCCGGCUGGAGCGCCAAUGCAGCUCUGAGAUGCGCACACGCAGCGCCGAGGCGUGUGGUGUAUCCCAGCCAAGGGCCCCAAAUCAGCGCAGCUCAUCACGGCGUAGCGCAUCGUCAUCGCGCUCAUCUGGGAAUUCCCAUUCUUCGACAAUGACUGCUAUGUCAUGUCAGUCCUCCGGCACGGCAGACGCGGCUGUCGCACAGGCGUCUCGUAUUCCCUACCGCUCUGCCUCUUCGGUGAGCGCCGCGACCGGGUCCCGGGGGUCAGCGGUGUCGUCCUCACGCGCACGCGACGCGGCGCUCGAAGCUGCACUGCAGUCAAAGGAGGCAGAGUGCGAGUCACUUCAGAUGCAGGUGGCGCAGCUGCUGACUCUUCUCGCCAACACGCGCGCUGCCGGCACCGCCUCAGCUGCCACCAGCAGCGGGAGCCACCUGCGCAGCCCCAGUCCGCGUGCAGCAGCGGCGGCAGAAACAGCGCAAAGAGGUGACAUAACGGAUGGUACGUCCACAGCACAACUGCAGCUGCGCUACGCUGACCGCAUCGAGGAGCUAGAGACACAGUUGCGCGCCUACCGCGAAGCCAGCGACAAGCGACAAGCGCUGUCGUCUCCCUCUCCCGCACCAGCAGCACCCCCACCCCUACCACCAUCAGGAGCUACGAUGGACAGGGCUGCGCUGGAGGCGGAGAUCGCGGCACUGACAGCGGACAUCGUCGACGACGAGACGGGGACUACCGUCGUAGAUGUGCAUGAGAAGGCAAACCUGCUGCACUGCCUUAUGCUGGAGCACCUGCAGGAGGCGCCGCGCAAUCGCAAGCAGAUGCAGCGAUGGCUGUGGUCGAUCGUCGCAGCGCACCACACAAUGGAGGGGCGGUUGAUGGCGGCGGUGGGCCUACUGCGCCUGUGGAGCACUACGCUCCCGGCCGCUGGUGCGGGUGCGGCCGCGGUCGCGAAUUCUUCCGCCGCCAAUAGGGAGGCGUGCACGGCGGUACAGCGGAGUCAGUCGACGGUCGCGGCUUCCUUCUCUGCGGUUUCACCGGGUAGCAACUUCGACAUCGCUGACAGCGGAGGCGCCGAUCACGAAGAGAUGACUGCGUUGCGUAGCGCUCAUUAUGCGGAGCUGGAGGCCCUUCAUGCGCGGGAGCACCAGCUGGCGGCAGCACUGCAGGGAGCGCAGGCAAACAACGCCGCGACGGUGCAGCGGGCGGUUCGGCGGGAGCGACUGUGGAAGUCGCUAUGCGCGUCCGUCUACGCAGCGGAGCAAGCUUCCUACGCGAUCACGGAAUGCCGCUCAGCUGAGGAAGUCGAGGAGCGACUGCGUCAGCGGGAAGAGCACUACGGCGUCGUAGAGUCGCUGACGCAGCAGCUGGUGGAGGAUGGCCAGCAGGAGGUGACGACGAGCACGCACCAUGAGGAAAUAGAGGCAACAGCUGGAUCGCCUGCACCGUGCAGGUCGCUGCAGACACUCGUGGCGCAUCUACAGGAAGAGCGCGCGGAACUCCUCAGAGACGUGACGCGUCUGCACGACGCAUUGGCGUCGCUGCAAGGGGAGAAGGGUCCUUCGGCGUACGCGGAUGUAGUGAAGGUGACGAAAGCGUCGCCGAGCUUGUCUACCUACGCGAGCACCGCAGCCACGCCGUUUUUCAGCGAUGAUCUCCACAGAAAGUCUGCUGCUGUUGCAGACGGCAGUACAGCGGGGACGAGCACUGCGCGUUACGAGUGCAAGCCGUCGAGUGCGACGUAUUCGCCAGGCCCUGCCCGCGCACCCCGCGGGCUCACCUCGCUCUUGCAGCUCCGGGAGGGAGAAGAAUUCUCGGCAUGACCACGGCGGGUGCUUCUACUUGCUUACUCGUUGUGGCGGCUGAAGGGGGAGGGGGCAGGCGAACGCACACACCGCCGCGACCCCUUCGUCCUCCCUCGCCACAGUUCCUGGAUGUCACAUGAGCAUCGACAGUCUAAUAGAUGUGUUGCAGCCCCUCUCACUCUCUAUAUGUCGGGGUGAUGGGGAAGAAGCCUGUGCGGCUGUUCUCAUAGAUGGCAGUGCCUUCUGUUG